rnacentral:misc_RNA from 1 species
GGUGAGGGAGAGAGAGCUGUGUACUUGACUACUUGUGCAGCUCUUUCUUUCAAUCUUCUUUUUCUUUUUCUUUCAUUCUUUCUUUCUUUCUUCUUUAUAUAUAUAUAUUGUAACUCCACUUAUAGAAUACCUAACUCUUUAUUUGGACCUCUUGUUAAAAUCAUACUAGUGGGCUUCAUAUAAAUUCCUAUUUAGGCUUCACUGAUAAUAUUUUAGAUGAAAGGGG